GUGGGGAAUAUUGGACAAUGGGCGAAAGCCUGAUCCAGCCAUGCCGCGUGUGUGAAGAAGGUCUUCGGAUUGUAAAGCACUUUAAGUUGGGAGGAAGGGCAGUAAGUUAAUACCUUGCUGUUUUGACGUUACCGACAGAAUAAGCACCGGCUAACUUCGUGCCAGCAGCCGCGGUAAUACGAAGGGUGCAAGCGUUAAUCGGAAUUACUGGGCGUAAAGCGCGAGUAGGUGGUUUUGUAAGUUGGAGGUGAAAUCCCCGGGCUCAACCUGGGAACUGCCUCCAAAACUGCAUGACUAGAGUACGGUAGAGGGUCGUGGAAUUUCCUGUGUAGCUGUGAAAUGCGUAGAUAUAGGAAGGAACACCAGUGGCGAAGGCGACUACCUGGACUGAUACUGACACUGAGGUGCGAAAGCGUGGGGAGCAAACAGGAUUAGAAACCCCUGUAGUCC
rnacentral:rRNA from 1 species